rnacentral:rRNA from 1 species
AGCUCCAAUAGCGUAUAUUUAAGUUGUUGCAGUUAAAAAGCUCGUAGUUGGAUUUCGGGUUGGCUUCAGCGGUCUCGCUUUGCGUCUGUACUGCUGAAGCCUACCUUCUUGUCGGGGACGGGCCUACGGGCUUAAUUGCUUGGGGCCCGGAGUCGACGAUGUUACUUUGAGUAAAUUAGAGUGUUCAAAGCAAGCCUACGCUCUGAAUAUAAUAGCAUGGGAUAACACGACAGGACUCUGGCCUAUCGUGUUGGUCUGUAGGACCAGAGUAAUGAUUAAGAGGGACAGUCGGGGGCAUUCGUAUUCCGUUGUCAGAGGUGAAAUUCUUGGAUUUACGGAAGACGAACAUCUGCGAAAGCAUUUGCCAAGGAUGUUUUCAUUGAUCAAGAACGAAAGUACG